AUGCACAAGAAGAAGAGGAGGCUACUGCCAUUUGUGCUCACUGAAGAUAGAGUUCGAAGGCUUGAACAGAUGGCUUCUGCUGCCACUGCAUUGACAUCUUCGAAAAUGGAGUUCAGUAAUGAGCUGACUUUUGUGUCGAGUAUGGCCCCUAUAUCUGCCAAUCAAGCAAAGCUGAAGGAAGGUGGUAUGCAGGUUCUUUCAAAAGAGGACAAAGAAGCCAUCGAACUUUGCAGAAGCAUGUUGAAAAGAGGAGAAUGCCCUCCACUUCUGGUGGUUUUUGAUUCCCAUGAGGGCUUCAUUGUGCAGGCAGAUGCAUAUAUUAAGAGCAUCUCCACUCUCGCCCCUGAACAGGCUCUCAGGGCGCCUUUUUUAGCGUCGGCGGUAAAAAAUCGGCCCAGUCGUGCCCCAACUCCU
rnacentral:rRNA from 1 species